rnacentral:rRNA from 1 species
CUUAGCAGAGAUGCUUUGGUGCCUUCGGGAACUCUGAGACAGGUGCUGCAUGGCUGUCGUCAGCUCGUGUUGUGAAAUGUUCGGGUUAAGUCCCGCAACGAGCGCAACCCUUAUCCUUUGUUGCCAGCGGCUCGGCCGGGAACUCAAAGGAGACUGCCGGUGAUAAACCGGAGGAAGGUGGGGAUGACGUCAAGUCAUCAUGGCCCUUACGGCCAGGGCUACACACGUGCUACAAUGGCGCAUACAAGAGAAGCGACCUCGCGAGAGCAAGCGGACCUCAUAAAGUGCGUCGUAGUCCGGAUUGGAGUCUGCAACUCGACUCCAUGAAGUCGGAAUCGCUAGUAAUCGUAGAUCAGAAUGCUACGGUGAAUACGUUCCCGGGCCUUGUACACACCGCCCGUCACACCAUGGGAGUGGGUUGCAAAAGAAGUAGGUAGCUUAACCUUCGGGAGGGCGCUUACCACUUUGUGAUUCAUGACUGGGGUGAAGUCGUAACAAGGUAAGCGUAGCGAG